GUUCCGCAGGAGCCAGUGCUGCUGUCACCUCUCUUGGCAUGAGCAACUCCAGUUCCAGCAGUCUUCCUUGUCUUGUGAGAGCAGACAAUGAAUUAGGAUUACUUCUUCAAGAGAAGAGCCCCGAAGAAGUCUUCUAUUUCUAUUUCUUCUGCUCGUGUGUGCAUCUCUCAGGACCUCAACACUACAGCUUCCCUCAGCUGCGGUAAAAUUGGUGACCUUAGCAGUGAAGAGAAAAGUUUACUCUUCUCCCCACCUUAAUCAAGUGCUCUGCGGUUCUGAAUUUGAUCUGAUCUUACAGAUGCUUCUGCAGCUCGAAGGUUAACACUUAAAAUAAUGGGCAGUGGGAGAGGAAGAGGAGCAGAAAGGCUUUUCCUGCCUGCCCUUCUCUCCGCUCAUGCAGCGGGGAGGUAUUGCUGCUUCCUGGCACCACUAGCACUUCUGCAGCCUGCACAGCUGUUUGCCCUUGGGUGCUGGACUCAGAAUCAGAUUCAGCCCCACUGCUGUCCUCCUCUCUCUCCCUAACAUCUCCUGAUCAACGCUUUUUGCUGUCUCUGCCACCAAGGCUUUCAAUUUCCUACCAUCGGAUUAGGUCUCAGGUCCCUGUACAAACUAGUACCCGUCAAUCCACAGCAGUUUCACAACUUUGGAAUCUGUGCAGAUAUUCCUCCUGUUCCUGAUUUACCAGUGGGCUCAAAGGAAUGAAGUAGACAGAAUGAGGGUAAGCUAAAAGACUGGUUUAAAGAGCUAUGAAGAACAUAAUAGUUCACAUGCAUUUAGGACAGGCAGCAUGAAGUGCUGUACUCCUCAGCAAUGAGGACUGCCUACUGCUUGUGCUCAUAACUUCGUGACAGCAGCAGGAAGGGAACUCAGAUCUUGCUCCCAAGACCAGACUCUGAGCAGGCGAAUAAUACGAAGUCUGUGGCACAAAGCAAUAAGAUUCCAGCCAGCAGGAGAGAAGCAAUGAAAGGCACGAAGCCAUGCUCUAUCAGAGCCUUAAGGAAAUAACGCAGUUCCAUUUUGAAAAGCCAUUGGAUUACCCUGGAAUAAAUCCAUAUUGGAAAACAUUAUUACUCCUUAUUAAAUCAAAACCUGCUAGCUUGAAGAAAAAAUAAGUAGCGCUGUGCACUCUUCUGGGGGCUGAAAAUACAAGGCAGCUUGAUGCUAUGGAAAGAGCUCUUGAACUGCAACAGAACAUAAUUCUUUGCAGGAGGAAAGAAUGUAAAUAUAGAUAUAUAAGUUCAAGGACCUGUUUAGUUCAAAAAGACAUGGCUCAAAGAGCAAAGCAGUCAUCACUGUGUCUGGAGUUCCUGGGUUGUUUUUUAGUAAGGAUGCUAAAUGCAACGCAUUUAAUUAACAAAAAAAAUCUACAUGUAUGCAGUCAUCUAUUGGCAGUCCCUGAUGGCUAUGCCAAAAGCGGUAGUUUUGAAACCAACACAGCCCACAAAUGACUAAGCUCUCCCUCUGUAAUUAGCCUAGUUGAUGACAGCUCAGCAGCCCAGUCUUCUGGAUGCUACAAAGUUGAGUUGUGGCUUUUUCACGCGUCCACUUUUCUUUUUCCUCCUCCUUACAUCUCAUCCUCGAGUUUCAGUUUAUAGGUAAAACCAUACAACUGCAGCCUUCCAGGCUGAGAUGUAUGCGAAACCACAGAUCUCUCAUAUUCAAGCUGCAGACUCAGGUUUUCCUGAGGUUGUGUCCAUAUCCUACCGUAAUUUUCCACUGUCCACCCAUGGGCUCUCAAAGCUGAAUCUUCUCCAUCUUUUCCAUUUUCAGUGUCCUCUCCAUGUCCUGGUGAGAUGCACAACUUUAUUACAGCCACUCUCCAGAGAUGUGUGGACGCAUUCCUGAAAUGUGAAGACUGUGGCUCUGAGAAUUCAUCUGCCACGCUGGCUUCUAAUUGCAAGGCAAACAUCUCUCUAAACCACGGUGUUCAGGUUUCUGCAAAUGCCUCUAUCAAAAAUCUAAAUUAGAAGCAACAGCAUUUUCUUUUUAUGGAGUUCAACUUUGUAUUUCUCUCACCCAGGUGACUUUCUAUUUUAACGUUCAUCUCUUCCUUUUCUCUGCGUACCAUCUGUUCACAUUCAUUCUCCCUUAUUCCUAUACCGAGUAUGAUCUAGUGGUCACAGAAGACCGCACUUAUAAAACAUCUAGGCUCGUUUUUUGUUCAUCUGUUGUUGUUCCAUACAGUGGAUUGCUUUCACAUUCCUUAGUUUGGUCUGUUUAAAUUGUCACCUCCUGAGGGCAAAGACUGCUCUGUGUGUGUGCAUAGCCUGGAUCUUGCUUAGGAUCUGUGGGCACUACUGUGGGACCAAGGAUAAAUCCAGAGAGGCUGCCUGGCUGUAAGGCUGUGAAAUGGCCCAUUAGUGAGUAUUGCAUGUCACGGUGGAAAAGUGAAAAGAAGGAAAAAAUGUACCUCUGUGGAUGGCAUAGCUGAGCUGCACUUCGUUGUAGUGCACUGGUGUCACACUGAGGGUGAUAAACUGUUGAGAUUUUAAGAAAAAAAGAAACCCCUGUCACAGGCAGUGUUAGGAAGUACAUUGCUAAAGGUGCAUUAAACUUUGAUGGCUCUAUUUAUACAUUAUACAUGUGCAAGUCAGCAAAGUUGUACCAGUGGUAAUUUUCCAAAGGAAUCAGCUAAUAAUGUUACAGCACAUGCUGGAGCAAACUAUUGCACAGGUUGCUGCUCUUCUUUUUUUUUCUGUUUUUGCUUAUUAGCACACAAAAUAGGAAGCGCUCCACGCUGCUUUAUGCCCCUGUGUACAAUCCAAGGAGCAAAGCAAAGGGGAGCUGUACGGAAAUUUGAUAGAGAGAUGCUUUGCCUCUACAAACAGAAUGCUGAUGGAAAGGAGAAGAUGAAAAUUGGAGGUCCCCAUACAUUUGAACCACUCAGGACUCUCAAUCUUAAGGAAAAGCCCACUGCAAAAAUUAUGCAAACUAUGCAACAAGGAACAUCAGCGAUUUUGGGAAAGGCUGGACUCCUUCAAAGCCUGAGGCCACGGGUGUUUAGAAACCAUGCUGACAAACAGCAUAAAAUAUCCUCAUAGAGAGAGGCCGACAGCAAAGCAACCAGCUGAUACUUCAGUAGUUUUCUCCUUUGAAGCUGAACUCCAGCUGGUUACAUGGUUGGAAUAUGGAGGGGAAAAAAAAAAAAGGAUAGUAUCAGUUUUGUCCUCAAAAUACUAUUAAUGCUGUGGACAAUCACUGCUGCACAGGGUCAGGCAGAAGGCCUGGAGACUUGGGAGAGGGCAAUAACAAAUCUCAGAGACAUUUUGUUUUUAUUCCCUUGAUAGAAGAGUCUUAGACAAAGCAUCAGCAAGUCCUGAUCCAACUGGAAUUUUCUGCCAGCAGUUCUCCAGUGGUUCAUGUAAUACCUGAGACAGCGCAGUCCGAAAGGGCAAGCACCUGGAAAACCAAAGUUUCCUAGCAGCAGGUGAGAAGGCAUCAUCCUUUUCUCUCAUCUCCUGAGGAAUCCCUAAGACUCAAACAAUUUUCCAGGCUCUGAGAAAAAUGUAAGGCUCAUUUGAUUGUUUCUGUGGCAAAUGAAGGAAUGAAUGAAUAUGAUCUCUGCCCAACAUACGCAAAUCCCAAAGAUAACAGAGUUUAAACGGUCCCAAAGUAAAUGUCUGUAUCCUCAGGGAUGACAACAGAAGUGACAUAAAAAGGCUUUGAGGCAGCAACUGUGCACUUGUUCACUUUUUGCCCAGCGGCUGCCACAGUCUUUCUUCCAUGUUAAAACUUUGUUAUAUUCUACUCUAACAAGUAGUAAAAGCAACAGCAGAAGUAGUGGGAAUCUGCAGUUGAAGGGAAACUUAUUCCACAGCAGUAUUUAGCAGGUUGUGCUUCCUCCACCCAACGUGAACUGGAACAGAACCACGCUGUAACUCACCUCAGUGGCCUCUGUCAGCUCCAGGAACUCACUUUCAACACUCGUGUGCUAAGAAAGCUGCACCCUGAAUUUAAGUGCUGCCAAAUGUUUGCCCUUUUCCAAAUCUCAGAAGUAAUUCUGUGCUCGUUGCAGGAUGAAUCUCCACUGGAAAAAGAUCACUCUCACUUAGGAGACGGUAGAAGAGUGAACGCAGUGAUUUCUUCAGAGUACACUGCUCUCAGUUCACCUCUUCCUGCCCCUUUUCUUGUUGCUCCGCUCUCACCUCUGGCUGCAGCUCUCUACGUUGGGUUUAUUUCAUGCAGCACCUUGCAGAGCAGGGCUGCUCUCACUCCUUCUUGUCGUUACAUCCAAGGAAAUACAAAGGCAGAUGUCUCUCUACCCCGAAGCCCCCAGGUGCUAUCUCUGUAGCACAUAACUCUCACAAACAUGGCUUGCAUUUGCAGGAUACAAAAUUGAAAUUCCACCAACAAUACCGGGAACGCAAAAAAAAACAAGCACUGGAAUUGCUUGUGCUUUAUAGACACUUCCUGACAGGAGCUUAUCUCUGUCUGUACAACGCGUUGUUCUUCCCGUAAAUGCUGCAUGUUUCUAUAUUAUGGUUAAUGAAAUGCAGUCCUAACAGCUCGUAAGAUACAGGAGGACUGUCAGAGCUCCUUGCAGUGUCUGGAUAAUUCAGUGUGCGGUGGUUAACAAGAAGAAAAAUGUGGGAAAGAAAUGAUUAUUAGUGCAAGAAAAACAAACUGGGUGGAACUUGAUGACCAGAGGGAACUUUUAAUGACUUUCUGGCAUUCAGGUCUCAAUUAUGAGAGACACAACUCAGACCAUAAACAAUAUUUCUCUCUGGCAGAGCGAGGCUGCUUUAUUACUGGCCUCGGAAGGAGUGAAUGUUUUGAUAAUGGAGUUAAAGGAAAACCAGAACUGCACAAUUUGAGAGUAGCCUUUUCUGAUCAAGACGCUAGUGCUGUGCUAGGUGAAAAGUAAAUCAAUAAUACAGCCCCUGGGAAGGCUCUAUUUAUGAAAAAUUCUGUAAAUUGAUGCUUAUGUGCUGCUAGCAAAGAAUAAUAUUUUCUUUAAGGGGCCUAGAUCUCUGGAGAUAAAGAGAGGUUGGAAGGAAGUCAAGGUAUAUUUAUGUACUGACUGUACAAACACAUACUGUGGCUGAACGUGUCAAAUUUAAAACAUGAAGGACAGACAGAGAUGCAGGGAGGGCAGCCUUGCC